rnacentral:snoRNA from 1 species
ACUACGUGAUGAACUAAAUUCUUUGGUCCGUGUUUAUGACGGGAAGUAAGACCCCCGGUAUGAGUGACAAAGAGAAGUGAUUCGUUUCACAAUUCUGAUCAG